ensembl:snRNA U6 U6 spliceosomal RNA
AAAUCCUCCAGCAGUGCUUGCCUUAUUUAUUGAAAUUGGAGUAAUACAGAGAUUAGCAUGGAUCCUGGGUCAGAAUGAUAUUGAAACUGGUGAAAUGUUCCUUGUAUGU